rnacentral:rRNA from 1 species
ACAGGGAUUGCCCUAGUAACGGCGAGUGAAGCGGCAACAGCUCAAAUUUGAAAUCUGGCGUCUUCGGCGUCCGAGUUGUAAUUUGCAGAGGGCGCUUUGGCAUUGGCAGCGGUCCAAGUUCCUUGGAACAGGACGUCACAGAGGGUGAGAAUCCCGUACGUGGUCGCUAGCCUUUACCGUGUAAAGCCCCUUCGACGAGUCGAGUUGUUUGGGAAUGCAGCUCUAAAUGGGAGGUAAAUUUCUUCUAAAGCUAAAUACUGGCCAGAGACCGAUAGCGCACAAGUAGAGUGAUCGAAAGAUGAAAAGCACUUUGGAAAGAGAGUUAAAAAGCACGUGAAAUUGUUGAAAGGGAAGCGCUUGCAGCCAGACUUGCCUGUAGUUGCUCAUCCGGGUUUCUACCCGGUGCACUCUUCUAUAGGCAGGCCAGCAUCAGUUUGGGCGGUUGGAUAAAGGUCUCUGUCAUGUACCUCUCUUCGGGGAGAACUUAUAGGGGAGACGACAUGCAACCAGCCUGGACUGAGGUCCGCGCAUCUGCUAGGAUGCUGGCGUAAUGGCUGUAAGCGGCCCGUCUUGAAACACGGACCAAGGAGUCUAACAUCUAUGCGAGUGUUUGGGUGUCAAGCCCGAGCGCGUAAUGAAAGUGAACGGAGGUGGGAACCUUUCGGGGUGCACCAUCGACCGAUCCUGAUGUCUUCGGAUGGAUUUGAGUAAGAGCAUAGCUGUUGGGACCCGAAAGAUGGUGAACUAUGCUUGAAUAGGGUGAAGCCAGAGGAAACUCUGGUGGAGGCUCGCAGCGGUUCUGACGUGCAAAUCGAUCGUCAAAUUUGGGCAUAGGGGCGAAAGACUAAUCGAACUAUCUAGUAGCUGGUUCCUGCCGAAGUUU